AAGGGCAUGUGGAAAAGCUACAAGAAAUGGACCCUAUAAAUUUUGAAACUGUAAGUUGAAUUGAAUUUGAUAUGCCUCUUU
rnacentral:sRNA from 1 species